rnacentral:rRNA from 1 species
UACGGGGGGUGCAAGCGUUGCUCGGAAUCACUGGGCGUAAAGCGUCCGCAGGCGGCUUGAUAAGUCGGGUGUGAAAGCCCGGGGCUCAACCCCGGAACUGCAUUCGAAACUGUCUGGCUUGAGUACGGGAGAGGGUCGCGGAAUUCCUGGUGUAGAGGUGAAAUUCGUAGAUAUCAGGAGGAACACCGGUGGCGAAAGCGGCGACCUGGCCCGAUACUGACGCUCAUGGACGAAAGCGUGGGGAGCAAAC